AACCAGAUUCGAUCGAUUGGAUCGAUCUAUCCCCGCACCCCUAGACCAUGGAAUCCACCUAUAUGUGGUUCCCGAGUCCUCGUCUACCGAUUUUCGCAAAAAUCACUGUCACCCGUACCCUAGGGCGUCGUCCCGGUCUCACCGGAGUCCGCCGCCGCAGGAGCUCUCGUCGGUCGAUUCCAUCGCCACAGAAGGGAAGCACCCAGCCGAGUGCUUCGGGCUCGCCCCGACGAACACCCCCACUGCCCGAGCUCCAGCCACCCUCCGCCGCCAUCCCCUCUCGCCACCGACGCGGCUGAGGAUGUCUUCGAGACCGCAGCAGAGCACCUCGUCCCCUACGCUACCCGCCGGAGUCUGGAGACCACCGGAGCAGGCGCCACCAUCGCCGCCCGAGCCGGCUCACACCUUUCUUCUUCAAGUCCGGCGGCCAAUCCCCAUCCGUCCAAUCUCCAUCCGACGGUCUGGAUUAGAUAUGUUCUUUUUUUUAAUUUGAACCGGUAUGCAUUAUUUAGUGGCCGUCCGUCGGUUAGCCACUGCAGCAAACGACCACAGCCAGUCAGCAUGCACCACGUGGCACAUCCACAGCUGCCGCAGCAGUUCUUCCAGGAACACUAUUUUAGCACAAUUCCUUUUGGGCAGAUUUCAUAUCAAAUUUUCAUUUAGGUAUAUCUUGAGGUCCGUAACUCCAAAUUCACCGAUUGUUUUUCCUGUGUACUUGUAGUGACCAGGAGAACAUUGUAUACCCAAAAUUUCACAUGUUUGCACUUUUUAAAUUUGAAUUCGAUCAAAUUUGAAAUUAA